UGAGUGCAAGCAAAAAGAAUAAAGUGACUGGUAAAUGGAGGAUAUUUAAUGGUUCAUAACUCCGACAGCAGAGGGAAAGAAACUGUUUUUGUGGCGGGACGUUCUGGUCCAUAUGGAUCGUAGCCUCCUGCCUGAGCAAAGUGGCUCGAAAAGUUUGAGUCCUGGGUGAGAAGGUUCGGCUGCGAUCCGGUCUGCACGCCGCCGAGUCUUGGAGUCGUGGGUGAUGGUGGUGAUGGGGAGCUGGGGCUUUCGUGAAGUAGAUCUUCAUCUCCAGUUUUCUGAGCUUUGAGCUCCAGAAGCUGGAAGCUGUGGGCCUCUGGUGGUGGGGACUGGUGUCUUCAGGUGGUGGGAACCCCUUCCUGUGUGGCGUGCUGCUCAUCCCCUGGUUGUUGUUGUUUUUUUUUUAUUUCUUCACUCAUGUGUGAGUGGGGUGAUUUCUCCUGGGCUCCCUUGUGAUGCCAGUUGGUCCAAACCUCAACCAGAGAGCCCCCAGCUCUGAUUAGUCCCCAAACCCUUCAUUUAACAAUCCCGUGUGAAUGGUUGUUUUUAAAAAAUGGUUUUAAAAUGAGUAUUUUUGAUAUUAAAUAAAAUUUGUAUCUUUUUGCCUUCACUGGAAUCACGUCUCCCGCCUCAUCAGUGGAAUGAACCUGAGUUGUCUUCUGGUUAGUAGUGGUUAUAAUUCCCUGGGUGAAAGUCCCAGGAUGGCGUUGUUUGGCUGGUGUCUACAUUCAGUAGUUACAGCACCCUAGCUUAUUCCUCCACACCAAUAAUAAAUGUUUUUGGAGCACAUUGUGGAGCUUCAUGCAGAUGUUAGAGGAAGUGCAGUUUUUGGCACUUGAGCUUUAUCUGUCAGCCUUUAAGGUUGCUGUUUGAUAAAACUAUGAUAUUUACAUACUCACUUUCUCUGUGGCUAACUGCCAUUUCUUGCUAAUCAGUUGAUGACUGAAUCUUGUAUGGUAUUUUUCUUAUAUGUCUUCAACCAACAAAUCAUGACCAAAUAUCACAGGGAAAGCAGGCAAAAACAGAAAAGGUGUCAAAUUAUGAGGUAUUCGCCAAGUAAACAUUUCUGCCAGCAGAAUUUGGGGGUUUGUCAUGAGUGAUAAAGAAGAUCCUCAUUGUUAUGUACAUAAUGGUGUGUAAAUGUUUCGACACUUUGAGCUAUUCAAUGGGAAAAUUUGUCACAGCAUUUAAAACUUUUUGAUGGAACUAAGUGAGGAUUUAGAAAACAAUAAAAAACAGAAUUAUAUUCAGCAGAAUUUUAAGAGCUUUAUUGUGUUUUAUAUCAAUAACAUCAAAGCAUUUUUUGACAUUCCUAAAUACAAAAGGUGAUACUAACAGCCCUCACAACCAAAAAUUUGCAUCAGUAUAUAUUCUACAUUCCCUUUGCUUCAACUAUCAGAUAAAGCCAAACAGAAACAGAAGCAACGCUGUUAUUCACAAUUCUAUGCAAGACAGUUGCUGUUUGAUGUAUAGGCAAUGUGUAAAAAUAAAAUUUAAAAAUAAGCAGAUUAGAAACUGUACGUGGCAGACGACAAGAAAAACUAUUUAGUCUUUUACUUGUGUAAUUUCUACUUUCUCACACAUCUGAAACAGUAACAAGGCGGGUUUAAGCACUAAGACAUUGUGCACAGAUGAGAAGCAAAACUAAGAAAACCAGACCACAGAGACCAGCGAUGCCACCAACAGCAGAAUGCCAGCAGUUAUACUGGUGGCACCGUUGCAGAAGUUGCCCUGGCAGCAGCUGGUGUCCUUUCCAAGGCCACCCAUCGUCUGAGCAUAUUGGACACUUGAACAUACCAUCUUAGAAGCACAGCCCUUCACUUUCAUGGUCUUCCCUGCUGAAGCCACUGUCAGAAUGAUAAUAAUGUUAGUGUUCCAGCUUCAAGCUGUGAUAAAUGUGCUGGAGUCACUAAACAUUCCUCUGAGAGGAGGAAAUAUGUGGAGCACAUAGUAGAUACUACAUGCUGUAGGGCUGUUACCUGUUGUAGUGAUGCAGUGGUCCUCAUUCCCCACACAGUUAACAGUUGCAGUGCACGAUUGUCCAUCACAGUAGAAGCACUUUUUGCCAUUUGGGGAGGAUUGACUGAUAUCUGUGAAAUAGAACGUAUAAUAUUUGGAGAGGAAAAGGGAGCUGUGGGAGAUGACCUGCAGGGUAUUUCACUAACAUCUCUCCCCCUUUCCACCCCUCUGCCCUUCUACCCCUCUACCUCUAUCCUUCUACCUCUCUACCUCUUCUGUCCCUCUCAACCUGCCCAGCCAGCAGGCAGAUGGGUCCCCCCACAUAAAGAGCUGGGUUCUGCUCGAGGUUUUUUUGCCUGUUAAAAGGGUGUUUUCCUUGCCACUGUCGCUUUAGGGCUUGCUCUGGGGAUCAGGCAUAUGGGUUCUGUAAAGCGUCCUGAGACAAUUUGACUAUAAUUGGCGCUAUAUAAACAAAAUUGAAUUGAAUUGAAUUGAAUUAACUACGAACAAACCAUGUAAAAUGAGCAUAUAAAUGCAAAGACUUCUGCCACUGGUCUGUUUGUAGAGUCACUGUUAUUAAAUUAAAUUGGAUUUCCAAUGCAGGACAUGUUUGUUAUAUUUACAGUGUGACUAUGAGAAGCUGAGCUUCCAGUCUGGGUUGCCACACCCUUCAGCUCCUCUGUCAAAGAUGAUCCUGACUCCUCUUGUUUAUCUGACAAUUUUUGCUCCUCUUACUUAUGGUAGUUUCAUCAAACAAAACAUGACAAAUUUCCCCAGCACUAACUUUGAAGGCAGUCAUAGGGUUUGCAUCGUUUUUGCUCAUGCAACAAAAUGCUAGUUUCAAGAAAAAAAAGUCUCCCAGUGCUGCAAAGAUGCAUCAACAGAGAGUAAGUUACCCGGGGCAGGUUGAGUGUUGCAGAGAUCGGAGUUGCAGCACUUGCUGGUAAACACAGUCUUUGUGAUUCCAAAGUUGACUGAUCCUUCGAUACACUCCGUAGGCAACAAACAGGUUUUCGAGGCAACAUCAACAAGUUUUGUACCACCUGCAAAAAAGAGUGGCAGCUGUAAACUGAGCCAGUGCCACGAAAUAGCAAAAAUAGGGACCUACCAACUAACAAACCUGCAUAUGACACGACUCUCAUUGCACCACACUGCUGACCCUGUAGAGGACAUUCUAUAGUGUCAUCACAGGUUCCAAGGUUUUCCAUUAAACACUGAUGACAUUUCAGGGUGAAGGCUGAUAAAACACAAAAUAAGAUAAAUCAACUUCACUUGUCUACAAAGAAUAAAAAAGUAGUUUUAAUAUGUUAAAUUGUUAAAUUAAUCAGAUUUCUAAUUACAGCUGCAAAAAUGAGCUAUCCAACAUAUGCCAGCUGGAAUUCUGAUGUGUUUCCUGGAGCUUGCAGCUUGAGCAUGAGCUGAGUCAUCUGUGCAAAAGAUGUAGAUAUGUAGCAGAAAGGAGGGAGCGGCAAAACUAAAAGCAAAAAAAAAACAUGCAGCAUGUAUGAUCAACCAAAAUAAACCAUCUCUACACCAUGUGAAACAACAAGAGAGAAAACAGACAACAGAAUAAACACUUACCUUUGGGGAGAAGCACAAUCCCAAGGAUCAGCGUAAGGAGAUGCAUUUUUUGAUGAUGGGAAACAACAAAUGAGAUUUAGUUUGAUCUCUUCGGGCUAUAAGACGUUCUUCUGGGAAGGGGUUGUCUUUACUCUUAGACCACGCCUUUAUUCCUUUUGUGACCAGCUGAUUAGCCAUCAUGCCAUAUACAGCUGUGGGGGAACUAAUGAUUGGUUUGGCCGUUGCAGCAGGGGGUUCAAAUUGAUUGACGGACGUAGCUCCAGUAUACUCCUGAACACUCCUGGACAGGGCAGAGUCUGCUGACGGUGUCUCUGCUUAUCGGCGGCGUCAUGCGCGUGUAGGGUCGGACAGCCGAGGUAAACAAAAUGUUUGUUUAUGCUUGUUAUCGUUCUGUUGCUUGAUUGUGGUUAAACAUUUCUUUGUUUUAUUACAGUUUUGGCUCUGUUCCGCUUGUUUAUUUUGUUGUUUCUUUCUUUUAGUUUGUAGUUGUUUUGCCUAGUUUUGUAUCAGUUUGCUUGGUUCGAGUUUAGUUUCGUUUCUUCCCAUGUGUGUGUUUAUCUUUAGGUUGUUGUGGCUGUGUUCUCUGGCUCAGUAAUCAGGUUUCUCCCCUCCGUAGCUGCGUAGGGCCUGUGUGACUUCCAGUUUUAAUAACUGCAUUUAUAGUAACAUUAGUGUGUGUCGUGUGCUGAACAUAUUUUUGUACCAGAAUAAAAAUUGUAUUUAUAUUUUCUAUACACGCCUCUGUAUUCAUUUGUGCACCUACCUGUGUUUAGUAGGGGAAACCCUCUGUUGAGAGGCAGAAUUGUUAACGGUCUGAAGUUGAAAGUCCCUAGGUGGUGUUGUCGGUUCCGUGUUAAAAGAAACCAGAAGACCCUCACCAGUCCUAACUUGGUUACACUUUGAUAGAGACAAAAUGUGACUUACAACAAAAGUCUUCUUUGUGUGUAACUUGAUGUUUUGAUUUUUUUUUUUUUUUAAUAUUUAGUUUUUCACUCAGGUUGCUGCUGAGAAACUGCUACAGCAGAAACUACCUUUUACUACAUUCUUGUUCCAUAUUUAGUUUCCAAGUGCAAGUAGAUAUUUCCCUUUUGGUGAGCAAAUGAAUGCAGCUUCUAUUUGUUACGUAGUUUUUCAUUUGUUGUCUGCAAGGUUAGACUGUAAGCUGGACCUCAAAUCAAAGGUCCCAAAGACCCCAGAUUUGCGUUAUGCAAAUGACUAAUUAAGCAUUUACUAGACAUUUUGGUUUGUGAUUCUAAAUAUUCUAUAUUGCCAAUUUCUUUAUUAAUCUUUUUCAUUAAAUCACCUUCAUUUUCUCUGUCAAAUAAUUAACAACCGGAGGAAUAGUUCUGCAAAGUUGUAUUAUUCCAUCAUAUGAGUCAUAUCAGGCUGUAACCAACAAUGUUAUUGUUAUACAGUUAAUUUCUUUGAUAAUCAGCUUGUUAUCAGUCACAAAGUAGUAUAGAAUGCAUUUACUAUGCAGCUGUUAUUCCCAGAAGCAUAAGGCAACAUUAAAAUUUUUCUUGUCUUGUCAUUCUCAUCUGAGCAGCAGUGAAAAAAGCACAAAAUCCCACCAGCAGAGACUCGCAUAAAAUCUUUUCACUUUCACAAGGUUGUAUUUAACCAUCAGUACAUCAAAACUGCAGUCACACACCAUCAAUACUAGCUGGUGAAUAUUUUUUUUUUCAUUAUUCAUGUUUAGACACUUGCAGAGAACUGGAGUUACACCUCUCUAUGUUUCACUCUCAUCGCUGCUGCACAUGAUGCAGUUGUCUUGAAGCUGUGGGCCUCUGGUGGUGGGGACUGGUGUCUUCAGGUGGUGGGAACCCCUUCCUGUGUGGCGCUGCUCAUCCCCUGGUUGUUGUUGUUUUUUUUUUUAUUUCUUGACUCAGGUGUGAGUGGGGUGAUUUCUCCUGGGCUCCCUUGUGAUGCCAGUUGGUCCAAACCUCCACCAGAGAGCCCCCAGCUCUGAUUAGUCCCCAAACCCUUCAUUUAACAAUCCCGUGUGAAUGGUUGUUUUUAAAAAAUGGUUUUAAAAUGAGUAUUUUUGAUAUUAAAUAAAAUUUGUAUCUUUUUGCCUU